rnacentral:rRNA from 1 species
UUUUAUUUGAGAGUUUGAUCCUGGCUCAGGAUGAACGCUGGCGGCGUGCCUAACACAUGCAAGUUGAGCGAUUUACUUCGGUAAAGAGCGGCGGACGGGUGAGUAACGCGUGGGUAACCUACCCUGUACACACGGAUAACAUACCGAAAGGUAUGCUAAUACGGGAUAAUAUAUUUGAGAGGCAUCUCUUGAAUAUCAAAGGUGAGCCAGUACAGGAUGGACCCGCGUCUGAUUAGCUAGUUGGUAAGGUAACGGCUUACCAAGGCGACGAUCAGUAGCCGACCUGAGAGGGUGAUCGGCCACAUUGGAACUGAGACACGGUCCAAACUCCUACGGGAGGCAGCAGUGGGGAAUAUUGCACAAUGGGCGAAAGCCUGAUGCAGCAACGCCGCGUGAGUGAUGAAGGCCUUCGGGUCGUAAAACUCUGUCCUCAAGGAAGAUAAUGACGGUACUUGAGGAGGAAGCCCCGGCUAACUACGUGCCAGCAGCCGCGGUAAUACGUAGGGGGCUAGCGUUAUCCGGAUUUACUGGGCGUAAAGGGUGCGUAGGCGGUCUUUCAAGUCAGGAGUGAAAGGCUACGGCUCAACCGUAGUAAGCUCUUGAAACUGGGAGACUUGAGUGCAGGAGAGGAGAGUGGAAUUCCUAGUGUAGCGGUGAAAUGCGUAGAUAUUAGGAGGAACACCAGUUGCGAAGGCGGCUCUCUGGACUGUAACUGACGCUGAGGCACGAAAGCGUGGGGAGCAAACAGGAUUAGAUACCCUGGUAGUCCACGCUGUAAACGAUGAGUACUAGGUGUCGGGGGUUACCCCCUUCGGUGCCGCAGCUAACGCAUUAAGUACUCCGCCUGGGAAGUACGCUCGCAAGAGUGAAACUCAAA